ensembl:snRNA U6 U6 spliceosomal RNA
GUGCUUGCUCCCGUAGCACAUAUACUGAAAUUGGAAUGAUACAGAGAUUAGAAUGGCCCCUGAGCAAGGAUGACACACAAAUCUGUGAAAUGUUCCACAUUUUU